GAUGAACGCUAGCGGCAGGCCUAACACAUGCAAGUCGAGGGGCAGCACGAUUGAGCUUGCUCAAUUGGUGGCGACCGGCGCACGGGUGCGUAACGCGUAUGCAACCUACCCUGUACUGGGGUAUAGCCCGAAGAAAUUCGGAUUAAUCCCCCAUAGUAUAUUUCAUUCGCAUGAUUGUGAUAUUAAAGGUUACGGUACAGGAUGGGCAUGCGUCCCAUUAGCUAGAUGGUGAGGUAACGGCUCACCAUGGCGACGAUGGGUAGGGGGCCUGAGAGGGUGGUCCCCCACACUGGUACUGAGACACGGACCAGACUCCUACGGGAGGCAGCAGUGAGGAAUAUUGGUCAAUGGGCGCAAGCCUGAACCAGCCAUGCCGCGUGCAGGAAGACGGUCCUAUGGAUUGUAAACUGCUUUUAUUGGGAAUAACCUAUCUACGUGUAGAUAGCUGAAGGUACCAAAUGAAUAAGCACCGGGCU
rnacentral:rRNA from 1 species